GGAAUCUUAGUUGAUAAAUAUGACAGUAAUGGAGGUGAAGAAGCCAUUCCCAAUCCUCAUUUUGUUACUACUUGUCAUCGUUGCUCAGAUGAGCAUCCCUCAUGUGGAGGCUGUACCCUGCAACGCGAAGAAGAGCCUUAUAAAGAAGGACGUUUGUGUACUCGAAAUAAAUUGUGUAGAAGCAUGCAAGAAGGUGGGAUUCAAUUUUGGACAAUGCAAAGGGUUACGUAGCAAAUGUUUCUGUAGGCAACGUUGUUAGCUGAAUCGUGUACAAAAUUAUAUUUUUGGUCCUAUAACUUUAGAUUAUUAAUACUAUAAUUUGGCUUGAUGCUUCAGUUUUUAUUACAUAUGAUGGGUAUCUCUAUUUGUUGGGAUAGUGUCGACGUGUCAACUAGUUGAUAAGACACUAGUUAGAUUGAAUGUUGUAAUACUCGGUAGAAAAUGACAUUCUGUGUUAACAAAAUUUACGGCAUUCUGUAUUUUAAUUAA